rnacentral:lncRNA from 1 species
CCAAACUUUAUUUAUUUAUUUGUUUGUUUAUUUAUUUAUUUAUUUAUUUAUUUAUUUAUUUAUUUAUUUUUGAGAUGAAGUCUCGCUCUGCCACCCAGGCUGGAGUGCAGUGGCACCAUCUCGGUUCACUGCAACCUCUGCCUCCUGGGUUCAAGUGAUUCUCCUGCCUCAGCCUCCCGAUUAGCUGGGACUACAGUCACCUGCCACCAUGCCUGGCUAAUUUUCGUAUUUUUAGUAGAGACGGGGUUUCACUACAUUGACCAAGCUGGUCUCGAACUCCUAAUCUCAAGUGAUCUGCCCGCGUCAGCCUCCCAAAGUGCUGGGAUUACAGGCAUGAGCCACUGUGCCCAGCCAGGUUAACUUUUACGAAAUUACAAAAUAAAAUUUUUCUUCUUACAAAAUAAAUGCAAACUACAUGGAAGACAAGAAGGUCUCUUCAUCCUCACUCCAUGUCAUAUGGCUAGGGCCUGCCAUAAGUACAGCACACAUUUUUCCCCAAUUUAAUCUUCUCAACUGAAGAAGGUAUUUUGUCCCCAUUGUACAGAUCAUGACAAUGAGGUUCAGAGAGGUUAAGCAACCAACCCAAGACCACACAGGUAGCAAGUGGACUAGCACCUGCAGUCUGAUGUUGGGGCCCAAACCUUCAAUCACCAGGCAAGACUGCCGGUCACCCUGCAAGCUGCACUCAAUGGUUUGAAAGAAAGGCUGCAAUCAGCAUUUGUGACAUUGUGUUUAUGGGGUGGUCAGCCAUCCCGCCAGGUGCACAACGUGUGGCUCGGUAGACUCUGGGCAGCACAGGCCACUGCAUGGAGUGGCACUCACCCUGCACUGCCAUGUGCUGCCCUCUGUUUGAUUCUCAUCUCCUUUCAGCGUCAGACAGCGGUGGCAGGCAGCGGUGGCAGGCAGCGGUGGCAGGCAGCGGUAGUAGACUGAUGCGGUAGGCAGUGGUGGCAGGCAGCGGUGGCAGUGGUGGCAGGCAGUGGUAGGCAGCGGUGGCAGGCAGCAGUGGAGGGCAGCGGUGGUAGGCAGUGGUGCCAGGCAGCGGUGGAAGGCAGCAGUGGUAGGCAGUGGUGGUAGGCAGCGGUGCCAGGCAGCGGUGGCAGGCAGCGGUGGCAGUGGUGGUAGACUGCCGUGGUAGGUGGAACUCAUCAUCCUAUCUCCCAGGGAUUGUCACUUUCCCCCGAGCCCUCAUGAGCUUCUGAGCAGCUCUACGAAGCAAGAGUCACAUGGAUUUGGGCUUUUUGAAGAAAGUUCAAGGAGAUUCCUACCUUUGCUGGUACCCUCCUCUGGGCGUGGGCUGCGACAUGGACAUCAGCAAACUUAAGCUCAACGAGGGAAGAUUGUGUGCCCUCUGGAACCUCUGACCGCUGCCUCUAUGUGCACGGGCCCCUAAUCACAGUGCGUCUCCUACGCACCCUUGGCUCCCCCAGGAGCUGGUGGCUUCUGGGUUAGCUCUGAGACAGAGGUAUCACCAGGCUUGGCUCAGGGAGGCCAACUGUGUGCUCUGGAACCAUCCAGACCCUCAAUGUUUAAAUUGAAAGUGUGCCCAGCCUCGGCCCCCUUCCCUUUGACAUUAAGACUUAAGAAGUUUCUAGUCCUUGUUGAAACCUAGUACAAAUGCCUCCUCUAGGAGCCUCUUGGGUGGGGUGGGAGUUUUUCAACUGUCA